ensembl:lncRNA novel transcript
GCAGCUGGAGCUGGAGGAGGCCGUGCUCAAGUUCCGCCAGAAGCCUAGCUCCAUCAGGUGCCCCGGGCUUCCGGGGCUGCGGGCCACCCACCCCAGUCUCACAAAGGCCCCGGGCUGCAGCCAGGCUGGGAGCUGGGAGUAUACCCACUGCCAACAAGCCUGUGUGUCCCACAGAGGGGCCAGGGGACUCCACUUGCACACACCUGAGCUUCUGAGUCCCUGAUUCUGGCACAGCACCCAACUCAGGACUGGGCUCCUGGGUGGCCCACCAUGGCUCUCGGGCCUGUGCCCCUCACUGCUGUGUCCCUAUUGCCUUCUGCAGCUUCAAGUCCGUUGAGAAGAAAAUGACAGACAUGCUAAAAGAGGAAGAAGAGAGGCUCCAGCUGGCGCACAGCAACAUGACCAAGGGCCAGGAGCUGCUGCUGACCAUCCAGAUGGGCAUCGACAACCUCUAUGUCCGGCUGAUGGGCAUUAACUUGCCUGCGACCCAGGUACCGGGAGUGAGGCUGAGCUGCCACACACCAGGUCCCUGGGCAGGGCCAGAGGGGAGAUGAGACCCUCCUCCCGGCCUACAGAGAGAAGUGGUGCUCUCCAACACCCUCGAUUUGAACAGCAAGCUGGCGUACUGCGAGGGGAAGCUCACGUACCUGGCUGACAGAGUGCAGAUGGUGUCCAGGACCGAGGAGGGCGACACAAAGGUGAGGGACACCCUGGAGUCCUCGACUCUGAUGGAGAAGUACAACACCAGGAUCAGCUUUGAGAACCGGGAGGAGGAUAUGAUCGGACUGCUGCGGACGCUGGGGCGACCGGGGUCUCGGAGAGGAGCACGGGACACGCAGGAUCGGGGGAGGUUCUGCGUAAGGAGGCAGCCCGGGCCCGGAACUGCGCGCCAGAACCGCGUGCGCAUGCGCCGACCGCGCGCGCCGCGCCCCCGCGGCCCUCGCGGCGCCCCGUAGCCGCGCACCCCUCCCGUCCCGCCGAGCCGGCGCCAAGAUGGCGGCGCUGACUCCUGGAGAGCGGUCGCGCCGGAGGCCGCGGGGGCCGGAGCGGAGCAGCCGCGGCUGAGGUUCCCGAGUCGCCGCUCGGGGCUGCGCUCCGCCGCCGGGACCCCGGCCUCUGGCCGCGCCGGCUCCGGCCUCCGGGGGGGCCGGGGCCGCCGGGACAUGGUGCCAGUCGCACCCCUUCCCCGCCGCCGCUGAGCUCGCCGGCCGCGCCCGGGCUGGGACGUCCGAGCGGGAAGAUGUUUUCCGCCCUGAAGAAGCUGGUGGGGUCGGACCAGGCCCCGGGCCGGGACAAGAACAUCCCCGCCGGGCUGCAGUCCAUGAACCAGGCGUUGCAGAGGCGCUUCGCCAAGGGGGUGCAGUACAACAGUUUAAAAGCAAGUUCAUGAAUUCGCGUGCCGUGUGCACGGAGAGAGGCCGUAGUUCCUGGGGCUGGAGCUAGUCCAGGAGGACAGUGAAGAUGUCGCCUUCCUUAGUCCCCCGGCCUGUGAGCAAGAGGAAGCUGCAGACCACUCGGGCCACCCUCACCCAGACACCUUUAGCAAACAUACGACGACAAAGAAGAUUUUGAUGAAGUUCAAAUUAGAGUCAGCGUGCUCAUCAGAAAGAAAGCGCAGCCAACACGUUUAGGAACAGAAACGGAUUAUGUUGAAGACAAACAAUCCAUUGCGUUUGUGUUCAGUAACCCAAGCAUCAAAGGAACUUGUGGCUGGGGAGAAGGCUUGACUAUUUGAAAUCUCAGGACUCCUCUGUCCAGGAGCUCCCAGACUCCCGUGGAGUGGAAGCCUGGGGGCUCGCUGAAGAAGUCACGUGACUGGAACGUGCUUAAUGCUUGGCUGUCUGGUAAGGAAAAUAAAGUGGUGCAUUUUGAAUAAAAAUAAAAGCUGAUUUUAAAUGUG